AGGGUUGUGGCUCGGUGGUAGAGCACUUACCUAGCAUGUGUGAGGCACUGGGUUUGAUCCCCAGCACCCCAU
rfam:Ictidomys tridecemlineatus contig079215, whole genome shotgun sequence.